rnacentral:rRNA from 1 species
CCUACGGGUGGCAGCAGUGAGGAAUAUUGGUCAAUGGACGAGAGUCUGAACCAGCCAAGUAGCGUGAAGGAUGACUGCCCUAUGGGUUGUAAACUUCUUUUAUAUGGGAAUAAAAUGUUCCACGUGUGGGAUUUUGUAUGUACCAUAUGAAUAAGGAUCGGCUAACUCCGUGCCAGCAGCCGAGGUAAUACGGAGGAUCCGAGCGUUAUCCGGAUUUAUUGGGUUUAAAGGGAGCGUAGGUGGAUUGUUAAGUCAGUUGUGAAAGUUUGCGGCUCAACCGUAAAAUUGCAGUUGAAACUGGCAGUCUUGAGUACAGUAGAGGUGGGCGGAAGUCGUGGUGUAGCGGUGAAAUGCUUAGAUAUCACGAAGAACUCCGAUUGCGAAGGCAGUUCACUGGACUGCAACUGACACUGAGGCUCGAAAGUGUGGGUAUCAAACAGGAUUAGAUACCCGGGUAGUC